rnacentral:rRNA from 1 species
UACGAAGGGAGCUAGCGUUGUUCGGAAUCACUGGGCGUAAAGCGCACGUAGGCGGAUGUGUCAGUCAGGGGUGAAAUCCCGGAGCUCAACUUCGGAACUGCCUUUGAUACAGCACAUCUGGAGUCCGGAAGAGGUGGGUGGAAUUCCUAGUGUAGAGGUGAAAUUCGUAGAUAUUAGGAAGAACACCGGUGGCGAAGGCGGCCCACUGGUCCGGUACUGACGCUGAGACGCGAAAGCGUGGGGAGCGAACAGG